rnacentral:lncRNA from 1 species
GGUCUUGCUCACCCACCUGCACCAGGACCAUGUGUGACCAGCAAGAGAUUCAGUGUUGUGGGCCAAUACCCCAGUGCUGUGUCAAGGGUUCCUCCUUUGGUCCCUCACAGUUUCCUCAUGCCAACAACCAGGUGCUAGUGGAAGCUCCGUGUGAGAUGCAAUUUCUGGAAUGUGCUGCACCAUGCCCCAUUCAAGUUUCUCAGACUCCAUGCCAGUCCAGUACCACUGAAGUGAAGGGCCAGGCUCCAUGUAAAACCACCAACGUUAAAUGCCAGACCAAGACCACCCAGGUGAAAUGCCAGCCUAAGACCACUGAGAUAAAGUGCCAGGCUCCCUGCCAGGCUCAGGUUUCCUGUGUUCAAUGCCAGGCUCCAUGCCAAUCUCAGGUUUCCUAUGUGCAAGUUCCACAACCUCCUCAGACCUACUAUGUAGAGUGUGCUCCAGUGUAUUAUACAGAAACUCGUUUUGUGGAAUAUCCAGUUUCAAACUACGUGCCUGUUCCAGCUCCUCAGCCUGGGUACACUUAUGUAGAAUGUCCCUCACUGGGCCAGGGCCAGGGCCAGGGAAGUUUCUCCACUCGGUACCAGUAUCAGGGAUCCUAUGGUAGCUGCACUUCUCAAUCACAGUCACGGGGUUCUUACAGCAGCUGUGGUCCACAGCAUCAGUCUCAGGCUUCCUACAGUUACUGCGAACCCCAGUUUCAGUCCAGACCCUCCUAUACCAACUGUGGUACUCAGCGCCAGUCACAGGCUUCCUUUGGCAGCUGCACCUCCCAACUCCAGUCUCGAGCAUCCUACAGCAACUGCUCCUCCCAGCGUCGGUCCGGGACUUCCUUUAGCACUUGUGCACCUCAAUGCCAGGGCCAGGGCACCUAUGGAAGCUUUACUGCACAGCGCAGGUCUCAGAGUGCCAGCCGAUGCCUCCCUUCUCGUCGGCUUCAGCCUUCUUAUCGCAGCUGCUCUCCACCAAGACAUUCUGAGCCCUGUUAUAGCAGCUGCCUGCCAUCCCGGUGCUCUUCAGGCUCCUACAACUAUUGCACUCCACCCCGCCGCUCAGAACCCAUCUACGGCAGCCACUGUUCUCCUCGGGGCCGCCCUUCAGGCUGUUCUCAAAGAUGUGGACCCAAAUGCAGGAUAGAGAUUUCCUCGCCUUGCUGCCCAAGGCAGGUUCCCCCUCAGAGGUGUCCUGUCCAGAUUCCUCCCAUCAGAGGAAGAUCUCGGAGUUGUCCCCGGCAACCUUCUUGGGGUGUCUCUUGCCCAGACCUGAGGCCAUGCGCAGAACCACAUGCAUUCCCAAGACCUUGUAGGCCACAGCGUCUUGACCGGUCUCCAGAAUCAUCAUGGCGGCGGUGUCCAGUUCCUGCACCACGUCCAUAUCCACGUCCAGAACCAUGCCCAAGUCCAGAACCACGUCCACGCCCACGCCCACGCCCACGUCCAGAGCCAUGCCCAAGUCCAGAACCACGCCCACGCCCACGUCCAGACCCAUGCCCAAGUCCAGAACUACGCCCACGCCCACGUCCAGAGCCAUGCCCAAGUCCAGAACCACGCCCACGUCCACGUCCAGACCCAUGCCCAAGUCCAGAGCCCCGCCCACGUCCAUGUCCAGAGCCAUGCCCAAGUCCAGAACCUCGCCCAUGUCCUCCAUUGAGGCGAUUUUCAGAACCCUGUCUGUAUCCAGAACCAUGUUCAGUUUCUAAGCCAGUGCCAUGUCCAGUACCAUGCCCAGCGCCACAUCCACGCCCAGUUCACUGUGAGACUCCAGGUCGACGUCCACAACCCAGUCCUCGUUCACAACCUUGUCCGCAUCCAGAACCAAUGCCACGUCCAGUGCCCUGCUCCAGUCCAGUGCCUUGUGGAGAUCCCAUUCAUUGUCCCAGUCCUUGCUCAGGUCACAAUCCAGUUCCUUACAGCCAAGAACUAGGCUGUCAUGAAUCUAACCCAUGUCGCCUGGAUACUGAAGGCCCGAGCUCCUAUAGCUUCAGCCAAGGGCAAGAGAGUAAUGGCUGCUGUGUAUCUGGUGGUGUCUUUUCAGGAUCACGCGGUUUAAGUGGUUGUGGAGAUCAAGGAAACACCUAUCGUGGCAUGAAUUGUGGGGCUUGUGGUGGAACACAGGGAGCCUACUUUUAAACAAAAGUAUAACCCAAAUGCUCCUGCGUUAGGUUCUUUAGAGUAUUUCCCCUUCUUAUCUGGUUUAAUCUUUCCAUAGACAUUGAGGUGCUUCCUGCUUCCAAGUUGUUAUCCAAACUUCUUGCAUGUUACCUCACGUUCUACACCUGAAUCCCUGACAUCAUUCCAGCCUUAUGUCUCAAUCCUUCUUUGCACAGAGCUUUAAUUCUAACUAGACCAGCUUGGUCACUAGGACACUCCUUGGGUGUUUCUCCUGACAGUCCCCAGAUGCUCUUGCCUCUGCAGAGGCUUCCUCAGUCUGAACCACUUCUCACUAUUUCCCAGGAUCUAAAAUUGUACCUGUCUUUCAAUAACUCCUCCUGAAUCUUUUACUGUUGUUGUGUGUUUCUACCCAUAGGACCCUAUUCUGACUUCCUAGAAUUCACUGCUCUAAUACCAUUCAUUUAGUAAGUGCUUUUCAAUACUCUUGAAUUAGUAAUUUCUCCUGCCUUUUCUGCCUAACUAGAUUGCAAACUUUCAUCCAAGUGGAAUUAGUAUAUCCUUGUGUCUAUCUUAGGUCAGGUAAUAAUUGAACAAGGUUAUGGUUGGCAGCUUGAGAAUGCUCUGUCCUGUUGGGAAAGUACAGGAACUGUGACAAUAGGAAGAUACAUAACAAUAAAAACUGGAUGUAUUCAGA